rnacentral:rRNA from 1 species
GGCCCACGGGUGAGUAACGCGUGGGUAACCUACCCCCCGGCGGGGGAUAACCACUCGAAAGGGUGGCUAAUACCGCAUGAGACCACGGGAUCUUCGGAUCCUGAGGCUAAAGAUUGCACCGGCUUGCCGGUGCCGUCACCAGGGGAUGGGCCCGCNUCCAAUUAGCUAGUUGGCGAGGUAAUGGCUCACCAAGGCUACAAUCGGUAGCUGGUCUGAGAGGAUGAUCANCCACACUGGAACUGAAACACGGUCNAAACUCCUACGGGAGGCAGCA